CUCUGAGGCAGGAGGGGAUCCCAGCAUGCCAUGGAAACAGUUCAUCCCUGUUUGCUUCUAGAUGAGAACACUGGGAAUGCUUCUCCAUUGGAUUGGCUGCGUAAAGUUUUGGGGCCCUUGCAGCCUGCUGCAAGUAAGUUCACAAUGUCCCCUCAAAGAAAAAUAUUUGACAACAUGGCAAGAGCCAGAUGACAGAAACUUCUUUGGCUGUUGAGUUACAGGGGUGUCUGCAGGGAGGACUUUUCCAGCUCCUCUUCUGGUUGCUCCGCCCAAACCCGCCUCACAUGGCACAGGUGAGUAGUCUGUCCCUGCUGACCUCACAGGCUGAGCUCCGGUUUUCUCUAAUCCGUUCAUGUCAAAUGGAACUGCUUGCCCUUCAGGUCCUCCAAGAGGCAAGAGCCAACCUCCAGGAGAGAAAAAGACCCAUGAGUCAAAUGAAGUUCUGAAAGAAAUUAUGAAGGAACUUCAGAAAGGGCGAGGUGGGUCUGUUUCCUCAGCCUGAGCCGUGAGACCCAUCAGCCGAGGCUUUAGAUCCACGUGUGGACAGGCAGUGGCUGCACAGCGGGAAGGGAUCCAUCGCAGCCUCGCUGCCCCGCUGCUGCUUUCCCGCCUUGUGGGGCUGAUUCCCCGCCUGGCCUGGCUGCAGCUUCUCCCCGGCCUCUGCAGGAAGGCCUUGAGCAUGCCCUGACCCUGUGCCCCAAAUGCACCACGGGCCCUGCAGACCAGGAGAUCCCCUGCAAUUGCCUGGUCUGGUCUCCCGGCAGCUCCGGUGUGGCGGCUGUUUGGAGGAGGGAGUGCCCUGACCCAGCCCCAAAAGCCUGGCUGUUUCCCUGGACCUUUCCCAUGUCUUUUAUAAGCAUUGCCUCCUGAAGAUGCCACUUCCCUUAUGGAGAACAGCUCCCUCUGAUCCAGUUGUCCCUCUUGCUUUCCCCAGAGAUGGACCAAGGGGCUGUUCAGAAGUUAAUGUUCCCUGAAGGAAGCAGUGGCUCCGUGCCAGGCUCUGCUGAGGGCAGGGAGGCGAUGCCAGGCACGGGCACACGGGAUGCAGCCGGUGCCACAACACGUGCUCCCAAGAUCCAGGAGAGCACUGGAAGAGAUUUCUGUUGGGGAACAGGCUGUUUGAUUGUGAUAAUGGCAAGCAUGUUGGGUGGUUUGCUUGCCAUUAUGUCGUGCUGUGCUGGAAUCUGGUACUGGAGGGUGAGAA
ensembl:lncRNA